CACGUAGGGGACGAGCGUUGUCCGGAUUCAUUGGGCGUAAAGCGCACGUAGGCGGCUUACUAAGUCAGGGGUGAAAUCCUGGAGCUCAACUCCAGAACUGCCUUUGAUACUGGUGAGCUUGAGUCCGGAAGAGGUGAGUGGAACUGCGAGUGUAGAGGUGAAAUUCGUAGAUAUUCGCAAGAACACCAGUGGCGAAGGCGGCUCACUGGUCCGGUACUGACGCUGAGGUGCGAAAGCGUGGGAGCAAACAGG
rnacentral:rRNA from 1 species